UCACCUCUCAGAGUCUCACGGCUUUGAUCAAGUGUAGUAUCUGUUUUUGUCAGUGUAAGAACUGACAGUGUCAUUCUUUUGAAUGAUAUUCUCAAUUUUUGUAAUCUACUAUCUUGAUUGUUGAGCGUAGAUGCUUGCAGCUAUUGCCUUUCAAUCAUGUGGUAAUCGGUGAAUUCCUU
rnacentral:snRNA from 1 species